AACCCCGGCGAGGGGAGUGAAAAAGAACCUGAAACCGUGUACGUACAAGCAGUGGGAGCACGCUUAGGCGUGUGACUGCGUACCUUUUGUAUAAUGGGUCAGCGACUUAUAUUCUGUAGCAAGGUUAACCGAAUAGGGGAGCCGAAGGGAAACCGAGUCUUAACUGGGCGUUAAGUUGCAGGGUAUAGACCCGAAACCCGGUGAUCUAGCCAUGGGCAGGUUGAAGGUUGGGUAACACUAACUGGAGGACCGAACCGACUAAUGUUGAAAAAUUAGCGGAUGACUUGUGGCUGGGGGUGAAAGGCCAAUCAAACCGGGAGAUAGCUGGUUCUCCCCGAAAGCUAUUUAGGUAGCGCCUCGUGAAUUCAUCUCCGGGGGUAGAGCACUGUUUCGGCAAGGGGGUCAUCCCGACUUACCAACCCGAUGCAAACUGCGAAUACCGGAGAAUGUUAUCACGGGAGACACACGGCGGGUGCUAACGUCCGUCGUGAAGAGGGAAACAACCCAGACCGCCAGCUAAGGUCCCAAAGUCAUGGUUAAGUGGGAAACGAUGUGGGAAGGCCCAGACAGCCAGGAUGUUGGCUUAGAAGCAGCCAUCAUUUAAAGAAAGCGUAAUAGCUCACUGGUCGAGUCGGCCUGCGCGGAAGAUGUAACGGGGCUAAACCAUGCACCGAAGCUGCGGCAGCGACGCUUAUGCGUUGUUGGGUAGGGGAGCGUUCUGUAAGCCUGUGAAGGUGUACUGUGAGGUAUGCUGGAGGUAUCAGAAGUGCGAAUGCUGACAUAAGUAACGAUAAAGCGGGUGAAAAGCCCGCUCGCCGGAAGACCAAGGGUUCCUGUCCAACGUUAAUCGGGGCAGGGUGAGUCGACCCCUAAGGCGAGGCCGAAAGGCGUAGUCGAUGGGAAACAGGUUAAUAUUCCUGUACUUGGUGUUACUGCGAAGGGGGGACGGAGAAGGCUAUGUUGGCCGGGCGACGGUUGUCCCGGUUUAAGCGUGUAGGCUGGUUUUCCAGGCAAAUCCGGAAAAUCAAGGCUGAGGCGUGAUGACGAGGCACUACGGUGCUGAAGCAACAAAUGCCCUGCUUCCAGGAAAAGCCUCUAAGCAUCAGGUAACAUCAAAUCGUACCCCAAACCGACACAGGUGGUCAGGUAGAGAAUACCAAGGCGCUUGAGAGAACUCGGGUGAAGGAACUAGGCAAAAUGGUGCCGUAACUUCGGGAGAA
rnacentral:rRNA from 1 species